rnacentral:rRNA from 1 species
AGCCUGAACGCUGGCGGCGUGGCUAAGACAUGCAAGUCGAACGGGCCUAGCAAUAGGUCAGUGGCGAACGGGUGAGUAAAGUAUCGCUAACGUACCCCUCAGUCUGGGAUAGCCGGGGGAAACUCCGGGUAAUACCAGGUGACAUUCUCUAUUCGCAUGGGUGGAGACUCAAAGGAGUAAUCCGUUGAGGGAGCGGGCGAUAUCGUAUCAGCUAGUUGGUGAGGUAAUGGCUCACCAAGGCGACGACGCGUAGCCGGGCUGAGAGGUCGGCCGGCCACAUUGGGACUGAGACACUGCCCAGACUCCUACGGGGGCUGCAGUAACGAAUCUUCCGCAAUGCACGCAAGUGUGACGGAGCGACGCCGCGUGUGGGACGAAGUCCUUCGGGAUGUAAACCACUGUCAGGGUAAGAAAGUUCUGAUCUACCCCAGAGGAAGGCACGGCUAACUCUGCGCCAGCAGCCGCGGUAA